UACGUAGGGGGCUAGCGUUGUCCGGAUUUAUUGGGCGUAAAGAGCGCGUAGGCGGUCCGAUAAGUCGGCUGUGAAAGUCAGGGGCUCAACCCUUGAAAGCCGGCCGAUACUGUCGGACUAGAGUCCGGAAGAGGCAAGUGGAAUUCCCGGUGUAGCGGUGAAAUGCGCAGAUAUCGGGAAGAACACCCGUGGCUAAGGCGGCUCGCUAGUACGGUACUGACGCUGAGACGCGAAAGCGUGGGGAGCGAACAGG
rnacentral:rRNA from 1 species